UGACUGUAUUGUGAAACACGAUAUCCGUAUGAAAUCGUCGCCAUAUUGUAAAGCAUUCUUCGACAACGCUGCCCUCUUUCUUCAAUCUCCUUUCAUAGGUUUCUCGAUAAUUGGAUAAAAUGACGGAAGCCACAAUCAGAACUCGGAAAUUUAUGACAAAUCGGCUACUAUGCCGAAAGCAAAUGGUUGUGGAUGUACAUCAUCCUGGUCAACCAUCUGUUCGUAAAACAGAAAUACGAGAAAAAUUAGCGAAAAUGUAUAAAGUGACACCUGAUGUUGUAUUCGUUUUUGGUUUCUUAACACACUUUGGUGGAGGCAAAUCUACAGGAUUCGCUCUCAUUUAUGAUACCCUAGACUUCGCAAAGAAGUUUGAACCAAAAUACAGGCUAGCAAGGCAUGGUCUUUAUGAAAAACAAAAACAAACAAGAAAGCAACGAAAAGAACGUAAAAACAGAAUGAAGAAAGUUAGGGGUACUAAGAAAAGUAAAGUUGGUGCUGCUUCUAAGAAGGGGAGAAAGUAGACAAAUGCUCAUCAUUUGCACUACAAACCUCAAGAAGGAAUAGUCUCUUAUUCUGACGCUUACAUAUGGUCAGCAUUAAACCAACUACACAUCAGGAAGGCCACAAUGUCCAUAACAUCAGCAUAAAAAUUGUUAUAAUUAAUUUGAACAACAAUAUUAAGAUAAUAAUUAUGAUAAAUUUUAUGAAAUAAAAUAGUGUUCUUCUUGAUGAUAAA